AUUGAACGCUGGCGGCAUGCCUUACACAUGCAAGUCGAACGGUAACAGGUCUUCGGAUGCUGACGAGUGGCGAACGGGUGAGUAAUACAUCGGAACGUGCCUAGUAGUGGGGGAUAACUACUCGAAAGAGUGGCUAAUACCGCAUGAGGUCUACGGAUGAAAGCAGGGGAUCGCAAGACCUUGUGCUACUAGAGCGGCCGAUGGCAGAUUAGGUAGUUGGUGGGAUAAAAGCUUACCAAGCCGACGAUCUGUAGCUGGUCUGAGAGGACGAUCAGCCCCACUGGGACUGGGACACGGCCCGGACUCCUACGGGAGGCAGCAGUGGGGAAUUUUGGACAAUGGGCGCAAGCCUGAUCCAGCAAUGCCGCGUGCAGGAUGAAGGCCUUCGGGUUGUAAACUGCUUUUGUACGGAACGAAAAGCCCCGGGUUAAUACCCUGGGGUCAUGACGGUACCGUAAGAAUAAGCACCGGCUAACUACGUGCCAGCCGCCGCCGUAA
rnacentral:rRNA from 1 species